rnacentral:rRNA from 1 species
GACGUAGGGCGCGAGCGUUGUCCGGAUUUAUUGGGCGUAAAGAGCUCGUAGGCGGCUUGUUGCGUCGGCUGUGAAAACCCGCAGCUCAACUGUGGGCUUGCAGCUGAUACGGGCAGGCUAGAAUUCGGUAGGGGAGACUGGAAUUCCUGGUGUAGCGGUGAAAUGCGCAGAUAUCAGGAGGAACACCGGUGGCGAAGGCGGGUCUCUGGGCCGUAACUGACGCUGAGGAGCG